rnacentral:rRNA from 1 species
UGUCAGUCCACUCAUUGAUACCUUCGAUUCCUUGGUUUCCCAUGCUACUCCUAUACUGAUCUAGAGGGUUAUCUUCAUUUUUUAGGGGCCUUUUCUUUGAAGAUUUGUCAAGAUUAAUUUUGAUGGUGGCGUCACGGAUGGCAGGGAUGGUGCUAGCUCUGUCAUCCGGAAAUCAAAUGCUAGAUUACUGACGGUAGAGGAUUCACAUCUUUUUGAACCUUCCAUCUUAAGAGUUGAGCUUUGCACCAUCUAGACAGGCAUUAUCUAUGCCCAACAAAAGUUGUGGGCAAAGAGGAUCAUCAUUGAAGGAGACUCUACUAUCAUGAUAGGCUAGAUCUGGGACAACAUGACAUAAUUGGAGGCCCAUCCACUCCUUCAUGACAUCUAGACCUGCCUUCGUGACUUCAUUAUGGUGUUUUACUCAGCAUAACUUUUGAGAGAUAAACAGCAUCGUUGAUUGGAUCGCCCCUUAUGUGACUAAGCAUACUGAUGACUGGACCUAGCAUCAGGAUCAGACUUGCUCAUGAGCCUUAUAGAACAUUUUAUUUUUUGAUCUUUUGCAGUGUACUCAUUUUAGAUUGGUGUGUGCACGCGCUUAUGCAAAAAAAAAAGAAUGAGCCGGUGACUCAUAGCCAGUGGCUUGGUUAAGGGAACCCAUCAGAGUCACAACGAAAGUGAGUCUUCAUAGGACAAUUAUCACUACUUAUAGAUCCAAACCUAGAUGAUCUAUCUAUGAUUAGGAUAAAGCCUGGAUGAAACUAAGUAGAGGUUUGAACCGACUGAUGUUAAAGAAUAAAUGGAUGAGUUGUGGUUAGGGAUAAAAUGCCACUCGAAUCCAAAGCUAGCUGAUUCUCCCUGAAAUACAGUGAGGUGCAGCAGUUGACUAGAUAUCAAGGAUAAAGUACUAUUUCAAUAUGGGCCACAACAACAGUACCAAAUCGAGGCAAACUCUAAAUACUAUAUAUGACCCCAAAAUAACAGAGGUCAAGAUCAGCCAAUGAGACGAUGGGGGAUAAGCUUUAUCGUUGAGAGGGAAACAGCCUGGAUCACCAGGUAAGGCCUCUAAAUGAUUGCUUGGUGAUAAAGGGGAUAGGAAUGCUGAGACAGUCAGGAGAUUUACCUAGAAGCAGUCAUGCAUUCUUGAAAGAGUGCAUAAUAGUUCACUGAUUGAGUGCUCUUGUGCACAAGAUGAAUGGGGCUAAGCAAUGUAUUGAAGCUGUGGGAUGUAAAAUUGCAUCGAUAGGAGAGCAUUUUGCCUUAGAGGGAAGCACCCACACAAGCAGGUGUGGACAAAGCAAAAGUGAGAAUGAUGGCUUGAGCAACACAAAUAUUGGUGAGAAUUUAAUACUUCAAAAACCUAAGAGUUCCUCCAGAAGAUUCAUCCACAGAGGAUGAGUUAACGUCUAAGAUUAGACCAAAAGGCAUAGUCGAUGGACAAUAUGUUAAUAUUCCUAUACUAUCCUCUAUUGAUCUUGAGGGACCAAGAAGGUAAGGUUAGUCGAAAGAUGGUCAUCGGUUCAUGGAUGCAAGGUGGCCCUACUUUUUCAGGACAAGAAGGGGUAGAAAAAAUACCUCGAGCUAAUGCUCGAGUACCAGGUGCUACAAUGCUAAAGUAACCCAUGCCAUACUCCUAGAAAAAGAUCAAACAAUCUUUAACAAAAUAGUACCUAUAUCCAAAACUGACACAGAUAGGUACAUAGAGAAUAUCUAGAGGUGUAUGACAACUAUCUUUAAGAAACUUGACAAAAUAGCCCCGUAACUUGAGAGAAGGGGUGCCUCCUCAUAAAGGGGUCACAGUAAUCAGGUCUAGAUGACUAUUUACCAAAAACAUAGAUUUCUACAAAGUAUAAAAUCAUGUAUGGGGGCUAUGCUUGUCUAGUGCCAGAAGGUCAAUGAAGUUGGUGACUUGAUGACAAGGAAGUUGGUGACCAAUUCCUCGAUGAAUAGCGGCCAUAACUAUAAUAGUCCUAAGGUAGCAAUAUUGUUUGUCGGAUAAGUUCAGAUCUGCAUGAAAGGCAUAAUAAUCAAGAUACUAUCUUGGAGAGGCUUGGUUAAAUAGACUUGUCUGUGAAGAUGCGGACUACCUGCACCUAGAUAGAAAGAUCCUAUGAAGCUUUAUUGUUUCCUAGGAUUGACUUUGGGCCUUUUCUAUAUAGCUUAGGUGGAGGGCAAAAAAGGCCUUCUUCUGGAGGGGGCCUGAGACAUCAGUGAGAUACCACUCUAGAAAAGCUAAAGUCUAACCUUGUGUCAAGACCUACAGAUUAAGAGAUACUCUCAAGUAAAUAAUUUUUAUGGGACGUAGGCCUCCUAAAAGAUAAUAAAGGUGUGUAAAGAUUUUCUCUGAUCGGACAGAAAUUGACCCUCGAGUGUAAAGAUAAAAGGAAGCUUGACUACAAGAUCCACCCAUCCAGUAGAGAUGAAAGUUGGCCUUAGUGAUCCGAUAGUGCCGAGUGGAAGGGCCAUCGCUCAACGGAUAAAGGUUACUCUGUGUAACAAGCUGACCUUCCCUAAGAGAUAGAAAGGUUUGGCACCUCGAUGUCAACUCUUUGCCAUCUAGCAUUCUUGUAUGUUCAAAAUGUUAGGCUAUUCAUCCAUUAAAGCAGUACAUGAGCUGAGUUCAGAACAUCAUGAGACAGUUUAGCCCAUAUCUGGUGCAGGCAUUAGAGUAUUGAGAGGAUCUUUACCUAGUACCAGAGAAUCGAGAAGGAUGCACCUUUAGUGUACCAAUUAUCAUAUCCAUGGUAAAUACUGGAUAGCCAAGUUCGGAGUGGAUAACUACUGAAAGCAUCUAAGUAGUAAGCCCAUCCUAAAAUGAGUGCUCUCCUAUUCCGACUUCGUCAGAGCCUUCGAUAGCACAAUCGAGACAGUGAUAGAUUAAUUUGUCGGAGGAGGAAGCAAUGUCGCAGCGCCUCCUUGAUGGACACCUAAAAUCAUAUUAGA